GUUGCUUUAUUCUUGGAUAACUUAAGGAGAGUAACCAAUAAUGAAGGGGUUAAAAUGACCUGUGGAAUUAGGCAGAGAAAGAAGUGCAGAUUUGACACCCCUCGUCCCCCUCCUCCUUUUUCUAGGACAGAGUGUGAAAGAGUGAUACAGACAGCUGAGCCACUCCUAAUUUGCUCAAAUCAAAGGCAGAAUAUAACUCCUAAAGUUAUUUGUUUUUGGUGCAAUAAACAACAUUAUUUAAGAUCUUGCAGAUAUUUUAUCCGAG